rnacentral:rRNA from 1 species
GUCAGACAGUGUCAGAUAAAUGUCAUUGUCAAAAGGGAAACAGCCCAGAUCUACAGCUAAGGUCCCAAAGUCAGGUUAAGUGGAAAACGAUGUGAAGAUACGUAGACAACCAGGAUGUUGGCUCAGAAGCAGCCACACAUUCAAAGAGUGCGUAAUAGCUCACUGGUCGAGCGUCUUUGCGCGGAGAAUUUAACGGGGCUAAACCUGACACCGAAGCUUAGGCAAUACAGCAAUGUAUUGGGUAGGGGAGCGUUGUAUACGCGGUGAAACAGUAGCGCAAGCGGCUGUGGAGUGUAUAGAAGUGAGAAUGCCGGAAUGAGUAGCGCGAAUGCAGUGAGAAUCUGCAUGGCCGAAAGCCUCAGGUUUCUGGAGGAAGGUUCGUCCGCUCCAGGUUAGUCGGGAGCUAAGGUGAGGCCUAACGGCGUAGCCGAUGCACAGACGGUAGAGAUUCCGUCACCACCAAAAGAGUUAAGCACAGGGACACAUUUGAAGUCUCGGAGCCGGGUGUUGGUUCCGGUAGCGAUCGAGGGAAAUUAGUACCGAAGUCCGGGAUGGAAGAUGGCGAGAAAAGCUGUGUGUAUUUCUGCGGUGCCCGUACCGCAAACCGACACAGGUAGGUAGGAAGAAGAUUCUAAGGCCAACGGGAGAAGGGUUGUUAAGGAACUCGGCAAAUUGACCCCGUAACUUCGGGAGAAGGGGUGCUCCAGAGAUGGAGCCGCAGAGAAUCGGCCCAAGCAACUGUUUACCAAAAACACAGGUUUGUGCUAAAUCGAAAGAUGACGUAUACGAGCUGACGCCUGCCCGGUGCUGGAAGGUUAAGAGGAGAUGUGCAAGCAUUGAAUCGAAGCCCCAGUGAACGGCGGCCGUAACUAUAACGGUCCUAAGGUAGCGAAAUUCCUUGUCAGGUAAGUUCUGACCCGCACGAAUGGCGUAACGAUUUGGGCACUGUCUCAACAGCCCGCCCGGCGAAAUUGUAGUACCGGUGAAGAUGCCGGUUUCCCGCAACUAGACGGAAAGACCCCAUGGAGCUUCACUGUAGCUCUGUCUCUUAUACACAUCUGACGCUGCCGACGACUAG